AUGGAUUUACAGCAGAGUGUUUUCAGUAUUACUGUGUCAGCACGGUGUGUUUUCAUUCCAUCCUCAACUGUUGACAUUAUGCUUACCUGCUCUCCAGCUUUGAUGUGUGUGUCUCUAAGACAGAGGGCCACCAUCUCCUGCAGGGCCAGCAAGAGUGUCACUGAAUACAACAUUAGUUACAUGCACUGGUACCAACAGAAACCAGGACAACACCCCAAACUCCUCAUGUAUGGUGCAUCCAACCUAGCAUCUGGGGUUCCUGCCAGGUUCAGUGGCAAUGGGUUUGGGACAGACUUCACCCUCUCCAUCCAUACUGUGGAGACUGAUGAUGAUGCAGCAUAUUAUUCUAAGCAGAGGUAUGGGUCUCCUCCCAUAGUGCUCUGUGAGGAUUUGGAAUCUGUGCUUUAG